GCCAUCAUAGCUUAGUGGUUUGAGUGUCGGACUAUGACUCUGCAGACUAGGAUUCGAUUCCCAGCUCAGUCA